rnacentral:rRNA from 1 species
AUUGAACGCUGGCGGCAGGCCUAACACAUGCAAGUCGAACGAGUGGCGGACGGGUGAGUAAUGUCUGGGAAACUGCCUGAUGGAGGGGGAUAACUACUGGAAACGGUAGCUAAUACCGCAUACCAUCGGAUGUGCCCCGGUGGGAUUAGCUAGUAGGUGGGGUAAAGGCUCACCUAGGCGAAGAUCCCUAGCUGGUCUGAGCGGAUGACCCGCCACACUUGAAAUAAGACACGGGCCAGACUCCUACGGGAGGCAGCAGUGGGGAAUAUUGCGCAAUGGGCGCAAGCCUGACGCAGUAAUGCCGCGUGUAUGAAGAAGGCGUUCGGGUUGUAAAGUACUUUCAGCGGGGAGGCGUGACCCGCAGAAGAAGCACCGGCUAACUCCGUGCCAGCAGCCGCGGUAAUAC